CCGUCCAGGCUGCUUCGUUCUUCCAACAGAUUCUAAUCAUUGUGUUUUUCAGUUGGUCAGUUAAGGUAUUUUCCAAACCUAAGAAAAGCUUAUCCGCUGGCUGAACAUGGGUUGCACUACUGGUUGCGUUAAGUGUUUUCUCAACACCCUCAAUACUCUGAAUGCGCUUUCGGGUCUAUUGCUGAUAGCCAUUGCUACGCUUGCCCUCUCGAAAGCCCCUCUUGCUUACAUCGUAUUCCUAUAUGGACUGGGAGGCGUUAUCUUCGUCUCGGCAAUUCUUGGAUGCUGUGGAAUCUGCCAGGAGAACGUGUGCAUGACCGCAACGUACGGAUUCCUACUGUUGAGCCAGCUGAUAAUAAGCUUGCUGGGCAUUUUCGGCUUUAAGUUUAGUGAGGAAUACAUUGAGAAGUUCGCCAAAGAGGAGGUUCAGAUAAAAUGGAACGAGGAGCUGGUGGAACCUGGUGCAAUGGACAUUUACCAGGAAUUGUAUGAGUGUUGUGGACGUGAUAGCCCCGAUGACUAUGUGGUCAUCGGCCGGGAAACCUUGCCUUCAAGCUGUUAUCCCCAGGGGAAUAGUCAGAAGAUCCACUAUCAAGAUGGAUGCGCCCUGAAGACCAGUCAGAACUAUGUGACUCUUUUCAGCUAUGCAAACGACUCCAACUGGAUGGCAGUGGUCAUAACUGUUCUCAUGGUGUUUGGUGCCUUUUAUUUGGUCGGACGAUUCCGCAAGCAGCGCAUUCGCUACAGCUACUAAAGACUGAUUUCGGAUUCGGUCGAAAAGAAUGCAUUUGGAAUCCAUUAUAAUAUUCUUGCAUAUUUAUCUGCAGAUAUUUCGGAAGCAAACGUAUUUCAUUAUGGAAUUCCGGGAAUGAAGGGAGCAUUUCGAUGCUUACAUUCGACUGUUGUUUUUAGUUCACAAUUUGUAUACUUUUUAAGAUCGGAAACGACUUAUCCUAUUCUAUUAUCUGUAAAAAUACAAACGAAAUACAAUUAUUUUUGAGAACUCGA